rnacentral:rRNA from 1 species
GCCUACGGGCGGCAGCAGUGGGGAAUAUUGGACAAUGGGGGCAACCCUGAUCCAGCCAUGCCGCGUGUGUGAAGAAGGCCCUCGGGUUGUAAAGCACUUUCAGUGAGGAAGAACGCCUGGUGGUUAAUACCCAUCAGGAAAGACAUCACUCACAGAAGAAGCACCGGCUAACUCCGUGCCAGCAGCCGCGGUAAUACGGAGGGUGCGAGCGUUAAUCGGAAUUACUGGGCGUAAAGCGCGCGUAGGUGGCUUGAUAAGCCGGUUGUGAAAGCCCCGGGCUCAACCUGGGAACGGCAUCCGGAACUGUCAAGCUAGAGUGCAGGAGAGGAAGGUAGAAUUCCCGGUGUAGCGGUGAAAUGCGUAGAGAUCGGGAGGAAUACCAGUGGCGAAGGCGGCCUUCUGGACUGACACUGACACUGAGGUGCGAAAGCGUGGGUAGCAAACAGGAUUAGAUACCCUAGUAGUC